UACGGGGGGGGCAAGCGUUGUUCGGAAUUACUGGGCGUAAAGGGCGCGUAGGCGGUUGGAUAAGUCAGCUGUGAAAACCACGAGCUCAACUUGUGGCCUGCAGUUGAAACUGUCUGGCUAGAGUGCGGGAGAGGGAAGUGGAAUUCCUGGUGUAGCGGUGAAAUGCGUAGAUAUCAGGAGGAACACCGGUGGCGAAGGCGGCUUCCUGGACCACAACUGACGCUGAGGCGCGAAAGCUAGGGGAGCAAACGGG
rnacentral:rRNA from 1 species